GGAUAUGAGUCAACAGUGUGCCCUUGUUGCCAAGAAGGCUAACGGCAUUUUGGGCUGUGGAUGUUAUAGGCAAGAGCCGGUGUGGGGAACAACCAGUCUGCAGCCAAUAAGGGAUUUCAGGAUGGAGAGGUGUGAAACCCCACAAACCAGCCACAGUUCUGUGAGCCUGUGCCCUCACCCCCACCCCCUGAGUCUCUGAUUGGCAGGAGGGGUUGAACAAGCAGGAGAAACUGGUUAGAGAGAGGAAUGGCAAGAAAUUCUGUCCCGAUGGCCUUUGCAAGCCUCCUGUGAAGAAGAGGUGGCGACUGGGACAGGGGGCUGGAUGCACAGUGCCCCUUGGAGCAGCGAGAGUGCCAACAGCUGCUGCAGGGACCCAGGAGUCUGAAAAUUGGAGCUCUGGGCUGGGGGAAGAAGCCCUGGGAGCAGCCUGGUCUCAUAAGCCUGCAUUGCCGCCACCUCUAGAGUGGAACCUGGCAGCUUUCAGACAAGGUCAACAAUGCACAGCAGUUUAGGACAGGAAGUGAAAAAGAAGGUCAAACAUUCAACAGAAAGUGAAGGGGGAUAUUUAGGAAGGCAGAAUGUAAUGAUGACGUUUGAGAUCUUCAGUGAAUAAAGGGCCCAAGGCUACAGAUGGGAGGAAGCAAUCUGUGUAACACCCUGCCCUGUAGCAUCACGCCGGGGCACUGGUUCAGUGCUCAUGCAGCGGGAAGAGUGAAACGCCAGCUGUGCAAACUUGUGGUCAUUGAGAGAGAAAUCCACAGCAGCCUACAAGCCAGGUUCCCCUUGGCCCACACUCUUAGUUCACAUACCUCACUCUUUUCAGGGUGCAUUGCUGUUUUCUCUUUAACUCAUCCAUGCAUAAAAAACACUGAA